rnacentral:rRNA from 1 species
CUACGGGGUGCUCCAGUGAGGAAUAUUGGUCAAUGGGCGUAAGCCUGAACCAGCCAUCCCGCGUGCAGGAAGACGGCGCUAUGCGUUGUAAACUGCUUUUCCAGGGAAAGAAAACCCCCGACGUGUCGGGGCUUGCCGGUACCCUGGGAAUAAGCAUCGGCUAACUCCGUGCCAGCAGCCGCGGUAAUACGGAGGAUGCAAGCGUUAUCCGGAUUUAUUGGGUUUAAAGGGUGCGUAGGCGGAUUAAUAAGUCAGUGGUGAAAACCUUCAGCUUAACUGGAGACUUGCCAUUGAUACUGUUAGUCUUGAGUACGGUCAAGGUAGGCGGAAUGUGUAAUGCAGCGGUGAAAUGCUUAGAUAUUACACAGAACACCGAUUGCGAAGGCAGCUUACUGGGCCAUUACUGACGCUGAGGCACGAAAGCGUGGGGAGCGAACAGGAUUAGAUACCCCGGUAGUC